ACCAAUAGAUUAAUUGAAAAAUAUUCAUUGCAAAAUAUUUUAGAUAUUCUAUGCUAAUUAUUGGUAAAACUGAUUUUCUUCUCCCUUUUUUUCAGUGUUGAUUGUCAUCUGAUUGUGAGCUAACUACAGCCCAAAGGCUCUUUUAAGAGCCACAAGCACUGAGGAUCUUUGGCUUUCCAACCUCGACCAAGAUGUCGGUUGAGCAGGAGAUGACAUUGCCUACCACACCACGGGUGAUCAUGCUAGGGAGUAGUCUGCUGUUUGCAACCCACUGGAUGGUCAGCAUUGAGGGG